rnacentral:rRNA from 1 species
UACGUAGGGUGCAAGCGUUGUCCGGAAUUAUUGGGCGUAAAGAGCUCGUAGGCGGCUUGUCGCGUCGGCUGUGAAAACCUGGGGCUCAACCCCGGGCCUGCAGCCGAUACGGGCAAGCUAGAGUUCGGUAGGGGAGACUGGAAUUCCUGGUGUAGCGGUGAAAUGCGCAGAUAUCAGGAGGAACACCGAUGGCGAAGGCAGGUCUCUGGGCCGAUACUGACGCUGAGGAGCGAAAGCGUGGGGAGCGAACAGG